GACGAACGCUGGCGGCGUGCUUAACACAUGCAAGUCGAACGGAAAGGCCCUGCUUUUGUGGGGUGCUCGAGUGGCGAACGGGUGAGUAACACGUGAGUAACCUGCCCUUGACUUUGGGAUAACUUCAGGAAACUGGGGCUAAUACCGGAUAGGAGCUCCUGCUGCAUGGUGGGGGUUGGAAAGUUUCGGCGGUUGGGGAUGGACUCGCGGCUUAUCAGCUUGUUGGUGGGGUAGUGGCUUACCAAGGCUUUGACGGGUAGCCGGCCUGAGAGGGUGACCGGCCACAUUGGGACUGAGAUACGGCCCAGACUCCUACGGGAGGCAGCAGUGGGGAAUAUUGCACAAUGGGCGGAAGCCUGAUGCAGCAACGCCGCGUGCGGGAUGACGGCCUUCGGGUUGUAAAACUCUGUUAUUAGGGAAGAACAAAUGUGUAAGUAACUAUGCACGUCUUGACGGUACCUAAUCAGAAAGCCACGGCUAACUACGUG
rnacentral:rRNA from 1 species